rnacentral:misc_RNA from 1 species
UCUCCAGGGUAGUCAGCAACGCACCCAAUCCUUGGCCCAGCUCCCGUUGACCAGUUGAGUGAAAGCUUAUGCCCCAAUUGAUAAGAUUUUACGGCCUCCUUAGAAUUGAUUCUGUGCAAGAUGGCCGUCUUUGGUAUUUCAGCUCCUGGGCUUUUAAGACCAGCAGAUAAAGUCCUCUUGUAUUCACCCUUGGUUUCAGUUUGCCC